rnacentral:rRNA from 1 species
GAUGAACGCUGACAGAAUGCUUAACACAUGCAAGUCAACUUGAACUUCGGUUUGGGUGGCGGACGGGUGAGUAACGCGUAAAGAACUUGCCUCACAGUUAGGGACAACAUUUGGAAACGAAUGCUAAUACCUGAUAUUAUGAUUUUAGGGCAUCCUAGAAUUAUGAAAGCUAUAUGCGCUGUGAGAGAGCUUUGCGUCCCAUUAGCUAGUUGGAGAGGUAACGGCUCACCAAGGCGAUGAUGGGUAGCCGGCCUGAGAGGGUGAACGGCCACAAGGGGACUGAGACACGGCCCUUACUCCUACGGGAGGCAGCAGUGGGGAAUAUUGGACAAUGGACCAAGAGUCUGAUCCAGCAAUUCUGUGUGCACGAUGAAGUUUUUCGGAAUGUAAAGUGCUUUCAGUUGGGAAGAAAAAAAUGACGGUACCAACAGAAGAAGUGACGGCUAAAUACGUGCCAGCAGCCGCGGUAAUACGUAUGUCACAACCGUUAUCCGGAUUUCUUGUGCCUUCAGCACGUCUAGGUGGGUAUGCAAGUCUGAUGUGCAAAUGCAGG